rnacentral:lncRNA from 1 species
CUGUCAUCUAAACCCACCACACGAUCCAAAUAAAGAACACCCAAGCGCUCCAUCGAUCCAAUCCCCCUCCCCCACUUCCUUUCACGUUUCGAAUUUUAAAAACUUUUUUUUUUAAUAAAUCCAUUUGCCUAUUUAAGCAUCAACCAAUUUGAAAUUCAAUUCUGUUGUUUUCGGUGUCUGAUUUUAAUUGACGGUAGAAAAUGAAGGUGGAAGAAGAGUGUACGACUCCGAAGAGCAUGGGAUGUCAGAUUCCGACUGCCAUUGUUUGUCCACCACCUCCCAAGAAGAAGUCGGUGGUCGGAAAGAAACGAGACCCACCAAAAGACGGGUAUUUUCAAACGCCUGAGCUUGAUGCUCUGCUUUCUAUUUUCACGUCAUAGAUAUGAAGCUUGGGCAUAAUCCGCCCUAAAUAUGCAUUUUUAAUAUCGUUUAUUUAUUCUAUUUUAGGGACUGGAGGGGCUUAGUUUUAAAUUAGAAUUAAGGGAGUAAUCAAGAGAUGGGGACAUUAGAUGCAUUUUUCUAUUUCUGUAGAUAUAAAUGUGUCUCCUGUUAUGUUAAUGUUAGUGAGAUUUCUAAAUUUAUUAGAAUUUAGGGAGUGUAAUGGGUGACGAUUCCGUUGCUUCGAAUUGCUGGUCAGUUCAUUGCCUUUUCCUUUUCUAGUAGUUUUUAUGCUCUUGCAAUGCAUUUAUUUACUUAUUGAUUUUCCAAUCUCAAGAGAAUUGUCAAGGCACCGAAACUUUUCUCAGAUCUCUGUAAGCAGGCCGUGUACAGGAAAAGUUGUUGUCGUGAAUGCAUGAGAUUAUAUGUUUUUUUGAAAG